ACACGCAUGACACACUGCAUAUCAAUAAGCGGAGGAAAAGAAACUAACAAGGAUUCCCCUAGUAACGGCGAGUGAAGCGGGAAGAGCUCAAAUUUGUAAUCUUCAAGGGUUUCCCUUGACGAAUUGUAGUUUAAAGAAGUGUUUUCUGUUAGAGAGGUGGUAAAAGUUCUUUGGAAUAGGACAUCAUAGAGGGUGAGAAUCCCGUAUUUGAUCACUUUCUACUAACGUUGUGAUACACUUUCAAAGAGUCGGAUUGUUUGGGAAUGCAGUCCAAAAUGGGUGGUAAAUUUCAUCUAAAGCUAAAUAUUGGCGAGAGACCGAUAGCGAACAAGUACCGUGAGGGAAAGAUGAAAAGAACUUUGAAAAGAGAGUUAAACAGUACGUGAAAUUGUCAAAAGGGAAGCGUUUGACACCAGUGUUGUUUUUCCGAAAAUCAAUUAUGAAUGGCUUGAUUUUAAGUUUCAUGACCUUAAAAGCUUGUUUCUUAUUUUUCAGUGUCUUUCGUAAUGCACUUUUCGGUUAACAAGUCAACAUCAAUUUCUUUUGUUGUAAAAGGUUAAGAGGAAGGUGGCUUUACUUUCGGGUAAAGUGUUUAUAGCCUUUUAACUCUGCAAUCGGAGAGAUUGAGGUCUGCAGCGUAGAUCCUUCGGGGUUAGAUACAUUUGUGCUAAGUUAUAGCUUUUCAUAGACAACUUGUUGACUAUGUUAAGUCUUGUAAUUUACUCGCAGAUGCUAUUUUACCUACGCUUAGGAUGUUGAUCUACAGAGCGAGAGU
rnacentral:rRNA from 1 species